CACUUUCUGUUUAAACACUUGUAGUUUUGGAACCUUAAAUCAGAAAUGAAAACCCAAUACACCUACAGAAAGGCAUUAAGUAGAUCUUUCCAUUGAUGUAAUUUAUUUUGUUGUGGGGUGAUUUUAUUUUCAUAUGAGCUACACCUCCCAAAAAAUUAUCGAAAUAUGAAAAAUAAUAAAUAAUAUUUUUAAAAAUGGUCAAUUUCAACCUCUUUCCAAGUGUUAUAUAAAAAAAACAAACUUAAAGAGUAUAUUGUAGCUGCACAAUUUUCCAAGGAAUUCAAAUCUGAAAUCAGAAUUGAAGUAUCUUGAACAGUUGCAGAGCUAGAUAAGGUUUUGCAAUGCCUAGUAUUUUACAAAAAUCAACCUCCGAAAUGGCAAAGGCAGACCAGGGUUAAAACUUGGCAAAAAGUGAGACUGGAAACACUAUUGCCCUGUUUGAGAUACAAUUAUAUUUCAGUACAAAAAUAAAGAAACAACACACAAGUUAUCAAGUAAAAUGUUUAAUUUUUUUAUUUGAAAAAAAAAGUAUAUUACAAAUAAAACUUUGAAAUUAAGAAUUUUAUUUGGGAGGGAGGGAGACAAAAAAAAUAAAACCUUCCACAUUGUGCUGUAUAUAUUUAUUAUCAAAACUACCCUGCAGUUGAAGUGCAGGGCUGGGGCUCCUCCAAACCACUCUCCUCCUCAUCCUCCUGCAGCAGCUCUUCAUCAAGGAGGUCAGCCUCCAUGGUGUACAUGCCCUCGAUCUCUUCCUCAGUCAGGGCCCUCCUCCUCUUCAGUGACUGAACCACAUGCUAGAGCUGAUUGUCUCCAUCCAUUUUCUGGCUUACACACACCCACAUAAAACAUUAAAAUAAAUACCAAUUAAUAAUAAUAAUAAUAAUAAUAAUAAUAAUAAUAAUAUUAAUACUAAUAUUAAAAUUCUGCUCCAUCCUUUUUCACACACAUAAAAAAGUAAACAAGUAAUAAAAUACAUGGCUAAAUAAUAAUAGUGACAACAGCUAAAUAAUGUUUUCUGUUCUUUACACACAGUAAACGAGUAAUAAAAUACAUGGCUAAAUAAUAACUCCAGCUAAAUGUCUUUGUUUUUUACAUAGGCUACAUACACAACGUAAAAAUAAAAACUAAACAAGGUGUUUUCCUCAUUCUUUUACACAUCGAAUAAAAAAAGUUAAAAAAUAAUAGAUGCAUAAUUAAAUAAUAAUAACGACUACAGAGAAAUAACGAAUCGACUAGAAAAAGUAAAACACAGACGUACACAAACGCCUAACUUUGCAUCACAUGCGAUAGACCUGUUAGUUUUGCCUUCUCUCCUGAGGAAAAACAAGUCUAAAAUAAAAACGUAUGUGAAACUAACUAUAAGAAAGAUGUUUAAAAAAACAAACAAACAAACAAAACGAAACGUGGUGUUGGUACAGUAGCUCCUCUCGUCUACAGCGGUCAUGAAGUUAGCCCUGCCCAGCAAGCAAGCGAGCACACGAGACACAGCGAAAACAAAACAAAAAUAAACACUGCAGAUGUACUCGGCACAAAAAAACAAUAUCAAGUUGAAAAAAAAAACAACAACAAUAUGGUUAAUUAGCCCAAGUACCUCCCGUUUAGAUGAUAUGUAGAUUAGCACUCUUGGGAUUGUAAAACUGGAGAUACAGAGCUUCGACUCUGCUGUGCACUCAGUCACAAUGGCGCCAGCAGAGACUCGCCCUUGUAAUCAAAAUAUUAUAUGUCCCGCCCACCCUAGCCCUAAACCAAUGGUAUCAUGACAAGCCCCGUAGUCAUGGCUAUGACUCAUACUUUAAAAAAACAAAAUUGCUGAUUGGACGGCAGAGAUAUGACGUGUUUUGUCAUCGUAACAAAAGUUAUGAAAUUACACCGAGUCAGCAGCUAAGAGUUAAUCUACCUGGUCUUGAAUCUCUCCUGUUUCUCCCCCUCCCUCUCUCUCUCUCUCUCAGAUGAGCACAGACUGUCACACGACUCCAUCGCUCCCGAUUCCAAGCUGAACUCGUUGUGACGCCCCCAACAGAGAAAGUGUCACCCGAGCAAGAACAGCACUCCGUGUCACCCCUCCUCUCAGACCUCACCCCUCACCCUCGUCACACCCCUCCUCUCACCCCUCGCCUCACCCCUCCUGUCACCCCUCGCCCUUCCUCUCACCCCUCGUCUCGCCCCUCCUCUCACACCUCCUCUCACGCCUCGCCUCACCCCGGGUCAGUGUGGCACAGCCUGUCUGCUCUUCUGAACAAACACUUCAGCCCUGCCGACGCAGUGAGAGUCUGGAGCAGCAACACAAGGAUUACGAGCGGAGGCUGUGCUUGUUGAGCCUGGAUGAUAUGGAGCGGCUGGCGACCCGCAUGCUUCACCCUGAGGCUGGGGAGUGCAUGGAGCUGUCCUUCCUGGACUGAGGAAUACUGCUGCUGCCCUCUCCACCUCUCCCCUCUCCACCCUCUUCUCCUCCCCCUCUCCCCUCUCUCUCCUCUCCUCUUUACUCUCUGCUCCCCCUCUCCUCUCCUUACUUUGUUUAAAAGAAUAGAAGCACACCCAGUGAGCAAGGCAUUGAGCAGCCCCACAUCCCGCUUCACAAUACCGCUACAUAUUGACUGACUGUUCGCAUCGUGUGUGUUUGGUAAGACAAACCACAUUUUCUCCUUUCUGCUAUUUUAAAAGGAGCCCAGUUUGGUGCAGGAGGCUUGUGGGUAACAGAGUGUGUUUUUGCUGGGGACUGCAGCCCUUCCAUUACCAUUGCUCGUAGAGGGGAGAUUGUUUUACUUUCAAGCCUUUUUCUUUAAUAAAUCCGGACGUUUGGAAAUACA